rfam:Citrus sinensis cultivar Ridge Pineapple sweet orange scaffold00007_contig_165, whole genome shotgun sequence.
UUAAGUGAGUGGAAGACGAUUGUGUCUCUCCAUUUUGGAAGAACAUUGAGGUAUAACAAAAUCAACGGCCGAGAUAUCGUUUCAGUCGUUAUUUCUGUUGAUUGACGAUUCGAUUGUUGCUCGUCCACAU